ensembl:lncRNA LOC102547109 uncharacterized LOC102547109
UGGGGCUGCAGGAAGAGGAGCUAAGCCGGACUGUGAGAGCUGAGGUUUAUUUCAAGUGCGAAUUUGGCAGCCAACUCUGGAUCCCUACCUCUGCGGUGCCUAGAAGAAAAUAUGGCUGUCUUCUUGUUUGCCAGGGCUACCCAAGGUCAGUCUUCAUCUGCUGCCUGAGCUCCUUUCCGAGCCUCUGGAUGAGCUUGUCCUGGAUAUCUCCACUUCAACCAUUCUCCACACGCAGGUCAAAGAAUAUCCUAUUACCCAUCCAUACAGCCCAUACACCUCCCCAAGUUCUGGCAAAUGGGAUCAUAUAGUACUACCCGGAGCCCUACAUUUAUUGCUGGUUUUGACAUUUCAUAUGGACGAGAAGAAGCUGUGCCUCAGGAACCCUAGACAUGGAUGGACUACUUAGUCUAUUGGCUGGAAUCCUGUGACACACAGAUGUGAUGGAAUCCAGCACAUCAGAGG